GUAGUCCACGCUGUAAACGAUGUCGACUUGGAGGUUGUGCCCUUGAGGCGUGGCUUCCGGAGCUAACGCGUUAAGUCGACCGCCUGGGGAGUACGGCCGCAAGGUUAAAACUCAAAUGAAUUGACGGGGGCCCGCACAAGCGGUGGAGCAUGUGGUUUAAUUCGAUGCAACGCGAAGAACCUUACCUACUCUUGACAUCCAGAGAAUUCGCUAGAGAUAGCUUAGUGCCUUCGGGAACUCUGAGACAGGUGCUGCAUGGCUGUCGUCAGCUCGUGUUGUGAAAUGUUGGGUUAAGUCCCGCAACGAGCGCAACCCUUAUCCUUUGUUGCCAGCACGUAAUGGUGGGAACUCAAAGGAGACUGCCGGUGAUAAACCGGAGGAAGGUGGGGAUGACGUCAAGUCAUCAUGGCCCUUACGAGUAGGGCUACACACGUGCUACAAUGGCGUAUACAAAGAGAAGCGAACUCGCGAGAGCAAGCGGACCUCAUAAAGUACGUCGUAGUCCGGAUUGGAGUCUGCAACUCGACUCCAUGAAGUCGGAAUCGCUAGUAAUCGUAGAUCAGAAUGCUACGGUGAAUACGUUCCCGGGCCUUGUACACACCGCCCGUCACACCAUGGGAGUGGGUUGCAAAAGAAGUAGGUAGCUUAACCUUCGGGAGGGCGCUUACCACUUUGUGAUUCAUGACUGGGGUGAAGUCGUAACAAGGUA
rnacentral:rRNA from 1 species